CGGCGACUUAUAGGUAGUGGCAGGUUAAGGUAGUGAAUACCGAAGCCAUAGUGAAAGCGAGCCUGAAUAGGGCGAUUGUCACUAGUUAUAGACCCGAACCCGGAUGAUCUAACCAUGGUCAGGUUGAAGCUUAGGUAAUACUAAGUGGAGGACCGAACCGACUGAUGUUGAAAAAUCAGCGGAUGAAUUGUGGUUAGGGGUGAAAUGCCAAUCGAAUUCGGAGCUAGCUGGUUCUCCCCGAAAUGCGUUUAGGCGCAGCGGUGAAUGUUAUAAUUUAGGGGUAAAGCACUGUUACGUAUGCGGGCUGGUAAUUCGGUACCAAAUCGUUGCAAACUAAGAAUACUAAAUGUACAGUUCACCAGUAAGACUGUGGGGGAUAAGCUCCAUUGUCAAGAGGGAAACAGCCCAGAGCACCAGUUAAGGCCCCCAAAUAAUUGCUAAGUGGUAAAGGAGGUGGGAUUGCAGAAACAAUCAGGAGGUUUGCUUAGAAGCAGCAACCCUUUAAAGAGUGCGUAAUAGCUCACUGAUCGAGUAAACCUGCGCCGAAAAUGAACGGGACUAAGUAAUUUGCCGAAACUGUGCGAUAUAUUAAAAUAUAUCGGUAGGGGAGCGUUCUGUUGUAGGUCGAAGUAUUAGCGUAAGCGGAUAUGGACGAAGCAGAAGUGAGAAUGUCGGCUUGAGUAACGAAAAUAUAGGUGGGAAUCCUAUACCCCGAAAACCCAAGGUUUCCUCCGGAAGGCUCGUCCGCGGAGGGUAAGUCAGGACCUAAGGCGAGGCUGAAAAGCGUAGUCGAUGGACAACGGGUUAAUAUUCCCGUACCAUUUUUUAUGCGAUAUCGAGGGACGGAGAAGGCUAAGCUAGCCGGAUAUUGGUUACCGGUUUAAACGUUCGAGAUGUUGAGAAGCGGAGAAAACGCUUUGAGUUGAGACGUGAGUACGAGACGCUAAGGCGUCGAAGUAGUGUAUGUCAUACUUCCAAGAAAAGCUUGCACUGUCAUUCAUAAAAAAUGCCUGUACCAUAACCGACACAGGUGGGUAGGUAGAGUAUACUAAGGGGCGCGAGAUAACUCUCUCUAAGGAACUCGGCAAAAUAACUCCGUAACUUCGGGAGAAGGAGUGCCUUAUUUAUAUAAGGUUGCAAUAACAAGAUCCAAGCAACUGUUUACCAAAAACACAGGUCUCCGCUAAGUCGCAAGACGAUGUAUGGGGGCUGACGCCUGCCCAGUGCCAGAAGGUUAAAGAAGUUGGUUAGCAAUAGCGAAGCUAGUAACUGAAGCCCUGGUGAACGGCGGCCGUAACAAUAACGGUCCUAAGGUAGCGAAAUUCCUUGUCGGGUAAGUUCCGACCCGCACGAAAGGCGUAAUGAUUUGGAUACUGUCUCGGAGAGGGACUCGGUGAAAUAGACUUGUCUGUGAAGAUGCGGACUACCUGCACCAGGACAGAAAGACCCUAUGAAGCUUUACUGUAACUUGAAAUUGAAAUUGGACUUUAUUCGCGCAGUAUAGGUGGGAGGCAUUGAAAAUAAUCUUGCGGGAAUAUUGGAGCCAUCAGUGAGAUACCACUCUUGUAAUGUUAGAUUUCUAACUUUGAAUCAUUAUCUGGUCAAAGAACAGUUUCAGGCGGGCAGUUUGACUGGGGCGGUCGCCUCCUAAAAAGUAACGGAGGCGUACAAAGGUAAGUUCAAAUUGAAAAUAUCAAUUGUAGAGCGUAAUAGUAUAUUGCUUGCCUGACUGUAAGAUUGACAAAUCAAACAGGGACGAAAGUCGGUUAUAGUGAUCCGGUGAUUCUGUGUGGAAAAGAUCACCGCUCAACGGAUAAAAGGUACGCCGGGGAUAACAGGCUGAUGAUUCCCAAGAGCUCAUAUCGACGGAAUCGUUUGGCACCUCGAUGUCGGCUCAUCGCAUCCUGGGGCGGUAGUACGUCCCAAGGGUUGGGCUGUUCGCCCAUGAAAGCGGUACGCGAGCUGGGUUCAGAACGUCGUGAGACAGUUCGGUCCAUAUCCGGUGUAGGCGUUAGAAUAUUGAGAGGAGCCUUCUUUAGUACGAGAGGACCGAGAAGGACAUACCUCUGGUGUACCAGUUAUCGUGCCAACGGUAAACGCUGGGUAGCUAUGUAUGGAGUGGAUAACCGCUGAAAGCAUCUAAGUGGGAAGCCCACCUCAAGAUGAGUAUUCUCAUCACGUAAGUGAGUAAGGUCACGGUAAGACUAACCGUUUGAUAGGCAUUAAGUAUAAGUGCAGUAAUGUAUGUAGCUGAGAUGUCCUAACAGACCGA
rnacentral:rRNA from 1 species